rnacentral:rRNA from 1 species
AGAGUUUGAUCCUGGCUCAGAAUCAACGCUGGCGGCAUNNNNNCACAUGCAAGUCGAGCGAGAAAGGGUAGCAAUACCUGAGUACAGCGGCGCACGGGUGAGUAACACGUGGAUAACCUGCCUCAAAGUGGGGAAUAACACCGGGAAACCGGUGCUAAUACCGCAUAUUCUGAUGAGAUCUGUGGAUUUUGUCAGUAAAGGAGCAAUUCGCUAUGAGAGGGGUCCGCGGCUGAUUAGCUAGUUGGUGGGGUAAUGGCUCACCAAGGCAACGAUCAGUAGCCGGUCUGAGAGGACGGUCGGCCACACUGGAACUGAGACACGGUCCAGACUCCUACGGGAGGCAGCAGUGGGGAAUUUUUCGCAAUGGGGGAAACCCUGACGAAGCAAUGCCGCGUGGAUGAUGAAGUAUUUCGGUACGUAAAAUCCUUUCGACGGGGACGAAACCGCAAGGUUGACGGUACCCGUAGAAGAAGCCCCGGCUAACUCCGUGCCAGCAGCCGCGGUAAUACGGGGGGGGCAAGCGUUGUUCGGAAUUACUGGGCGUAAAGGGUGCGUAGGCGGCUUUCUAAGUUGGAUGUGAAAACUCUGGGCUCAACCCAGAGACUGCAUCCAAAACUGGAGAGCUUGGGUUCUGGAGGGGAAAGCGGAAUUCCUGGUGUAGCGGUGAAAUGCGUAGAUAUCAGGAGGAACACCGGUGGCGAAGGCGGCUUUCUGGACAGAUACCGACGCUGAGGCACGAAAGCUAGGGGAGCAAACAGGAUUAGAUACCCUAGUAGUCC